AAUAGAAGAUGAAGAGGAAUGGUGACAUUAAGUCCUUUUUCUGGAAUUAUGAGGCUGCUAAAAGAAAGAAGGCUGCAGCCGAAGAGCAACUUGAAUAUGAAGAUAUAGUGUCAAAUAUUGAAGAUGAAGCAGUCCUUCCUCCACCUCUAGUCCAUUCUGCAGAGAUUGUAGUUGAUAUUGAAGAUGAAGCAUUCCAUUCCGAUGUAGAGAUUGAAAGUGAUAGUGAAAAUGAAGCGGCAUCACCCCAACAUCCAUGUGCAAGGCCAUAUAAUAUUCAAAGGCUUCCUCCUAAUCCAGGGGAGAGGAUUCCUAUUUCAGCGUAUGAUGUCGAUGAUCAAGAUGAAGUUCGGAGACGAUACAUUGCAAAGCAAGCAGUCCAACCAUAUGCACACAACUUUCAAUUCAGGAAAAUCUAUGGUAAAAAUUGACACUUCAACUUUGUUUGGUUUGAGACCUACAAAUGGCUAGAAUAUAGUGUCAAAUAUGAGGCAACAUUUUGCUUUGUGUGUUAUUUGUUCAAAGGGAAAUCUAAUCGGGGGCCUAGGGGUGAUGCCUUUGUUAAUGGUGGUUGGAAAUAUUGGUAUAAGCCCGAUGCAUUGGUCAAACAUGUUGGUGGUAUUAAUAGCAUUCACAACAAAGCUCAAGAGAAGUACAAUACGUGGGCAAGGGUAUGAUGGGGCUAGUAACAAGAAAGGGGAGGUUAGGGUUGAAAACAUUGAUCAUGAAAGAGUCACCCUCUGCCUAUUACAUCCAUUGUUUUGCACAUCAACUUCAGUUGGUUCUUAUAGCUGUGGCAAGGGACAAUGAACCAUGUUUGUGGUUCUUUGAUCAUGUUUCUUACUUGCUCAAUAUUGUUGGAGUUUCUUGUAAGCGCCAUGACAUGCUUUGAGAUGUUAGAUCUCAAAAGGUGUUGGAAGCACUUGAAAUGGGUGAGAUUGAAAGUGGAAGUGGGCUAAAUCAAGAGAUGGGACUAGCUAGACCCGGCGACACUCGUUGGGGUUCUCAUUUUAAAACCAUUAUGCACAUUGUUAGCAUGUAUUCCACAAUCCUUGAAGUACUUGAUGCUAUUGGAAAAGAUCCUUCACAAAAAAGUGAGUGGACAAGAAUACAUGGAGUUGCUCAAGCCUUUGAAUCAUUUGACUUUGUUUUCAAUCUUCACUUGAUACUUGUUAUUCUUUGCUAUACAAAUGAGUUUUCCAAAUCUUUGCAAAAGAGAGAUCAAGAUAUUGUCAAUGCAAUGACACUUGUUAGUUUGGCAAAGAGUAGAAUGCAACACAUGAGGUCUUAUGGCUGGGAAGAUUUUCUUGCAAAGCUAACCUUAUUUUGCAACAAACAUGACAUUCAAGUUCCUUUGUGGGAGGAUAUUUAUGAGCCUAAUUGAAGAUCACGUCGGUAUUAUGAAGUACAAACAAAUGAUGAUCGUUAUAGAAGAGAAGUAUAUCUUGGUGUCAUUGAUCAAACCAUUCAAGAGCUUGACAAUCGGUUUGAUGAGGUUAAUACGGAGUUGCUUAUUUGCAUGUCGGCUUUGAAUCCCCUCAAUUCAAUUGCUUCUUAUGAUGCACUCAAGGUGACGACGGCUAGUGUUUAAAGAGUGUUUUCAGCAAUGAAUCUAGUGAAAAAUAAGUUGAGGACUACUAUGAGUGAUGAUCACUUGAAUGAUUGCUUAGUGACAUUUAUUGAAUGGGAUGUGUUCAUGGAAGUAAGCGAAGAUGACAUAGUUGAUGCUUUCAUGGCAAUGCAAAAACGUAGAGUUACCUAGUGAUGUAAUUUUCUACUUGUGCUUCUUUCAUGUAAGACUACUCGUAUUGUAAUUGAG
rnacentral:rRNA from 1 species